CAGACUUCAGACGAAUAACGAAUUCAAAAAUUCGUCUGCGACUCUGCACUGCAAUACGUAUCAAUUUAGUAAUUUACAACCCGUUUAUUAUUUUAAAUUUUAUUAUUUUAAACUUGUUUGGUUUGUACUUGUCACUGGUUGGCUGUCAUCGGAAUUAUUAAAUCUUUUGUGACAUUGUUAUGUUUAAAAAAAGACGUCUGGCGGUACGGCGCCGUCGACGUGAAAGACGACGACGGAGUGGUUCGUCAUGGAAUGAUUGUUGAUCUGGUGGAGGAUGGCGGUGACAUCGUUGUGGAUUUCGACUACCCUGGCCAUCACGCUGACCGCGUUCCAAUGAGCAGCUGCGUAGCAAUCGCACAGACUAAAAUUUCCCAAUAUCAAGCGGGGCUGCAGGCGCAAGUCCUGCUCCAGCAUCGCCCCGACCAACCAUGGCGCUGGUAUCCCGAUUCUAGAAUCCUGUUUGUCGUCCACGAUGGCGUCUACAAAUCGCAAGAUGGUGCUAUUCCCGCCCUGCAUGCUCUUGUCGAAGUGCCCAUCGAUGGAGAGAUUAUUCGGCUGUUUACGGAAUGUGGGAAGGUUAAAUUGGCCAUGGAUUGGGUUCCCUUGACGGAUAGAUUCCAGAAUAAUGCAGGCAGGGAGGUGUUUUGUGAUCAGUUUCCAAAAGAUCUCCGUUUUGCCAAAUACUGCAUUACGCUGCCGAGCCAUCCAGCAGUAUUGGAGGUGCUACGGGAACAGGGUUUUCGGGGGAAAUGGAAUCGGUUGACCAAGUCGAUACUGGUUCGCGCGGAUGUGGUACAAGAACACCUCAGGUGUAAACCCAAAUUUACCUAUGUUUCCACGACGGAGCUUCAAAUGGAUAAACCAGAAUUCGAAAGGCUGUUUGCCUAUGCCGAAAGCGGACAGACGUCUGCGAGAAAAAAGACACGGAACGGCGAUAGUGUAGUAGUUGAUGCUCUCACUCCGUUUCAGGAUAUGCUGGGACUUUCCCGUUUGCCUCCCGAACUUAUAUCCGAAAUACUUUCCUACUGUGACGCCAUUACGUGGGUAAUGUGCCGUCAGGUUGAUCGCAGCUGGGAUGCGAUCCUCAGUAAUCGCCAUUAUUCAGUGGUUACCAUCCGCACCAGUUCGCGGGUGUCCCGCCCGAAAAUUCGUCUAGCCUUGUUAGUGUACCAUACCGUUACGGUGUCCACCAGAUGCCUGGUAAUUUCCGCCCGGGACAAUUUUUCGGUGCGCCUGGUGACGGAUAUGCUAGCGGCUUUGCAGAUUAAAGUGCCGCUGAUUGUUUUGGCGCGGAUGACUGUUGGUUGGGGGGAUCUUCUGAUGGAUGCGCUUUUGGUCAGCGCUUUGAUCCGGGAGGGGAAUCCGGUAGUGGACUGGUGCCGCGUCUGCGCAAAAUUGGAACUGAGGAACGUGGAUGUUAUCAUGCCGCCCAUGGGCGUGCUGGACAUGGCGAAAUGUACGAUGCUGACGUAUCUGCAGAAACAUCAUCAGAUGCAAGGGAUCCGGUUGCAGAAGAAGGAAUAUGUUUGUCUCAGUGUCGCGAAAAGCGUCAUGGACACAGCCCUAAUUUCUGGCGCGGCUGAAGCCGGUGUUCAGGUUAUUUAAGUCGGAGUUAUUAUUGAUUGUGUUAUUUUGAAAUCCGGUGGAUCUCGUUUCUUGAUCUCCUAAUUUGUUUUGUGGUUUUAGUUUGUUGUUGCCGAAGAUGUUCAUGUGAGCGGGCUUCUCCUGAAUGAAUCAGUACUUACUCUUUUCCCCAGUUCGCCGGGAGUAAGCUCUUCCCCAAUUCUUGGAUAGCGGCAAUGGCCGCUGGUCCCCCUGGGCUCGGUGUUUCAGAAGAGAUAAGUGCGAAAAUAAAACAGCCCUUUAAAUAAAAUGUAACCUAGGGUAUACUUCUCUUCUGCCUGCAAAUCCCGUGUUUGCCGAAGUAGAUGUCAUGUGGGAAGCGGCGAACGGUCGUGACAGCCCAAGUGGUCGCGGGACAUUUCGUCGCGUGGGACAUUUCGCCAAAAGGUUUUCGUCGCAGCGGCUAAUUUGUUUUGGACAACUCGUUUCGCAGCUGUUUCGUUGUGUGGCAUUUGGUCGCGCGACUUUCGGGAGGCGAAACAUUAUCGACUGGUUUAUGACAACGAGUAGCCAUAUGACUAUUUGCCACAAAAACGACUUGUCCUCAGACGAAAUAUCCGUAAAUGAAAUGUCCCGCGACCACCUGUCGCGUAGCCUCCACGAGCAGGACGUGCACUUACCAGUACUACUGCAUGUCGCGUUUUUGUAUCAGCCGGAAUCCCAGCUAAACUUGAACCUCGCGGCACCACAGAAGUGAACGACGUCCCGAAGGCUGCUUAACUUUCGCGUGGCAAUGCGAAUGCACGUGUUUGACAUGCAUGGGAUGUCAUUUGUGUCGAUAGACUGGAUACCAGUAAAACGAAAUGUCCCGCGACGACCUGUCGCGUAGCCGGAUACGGCUGGAUACCGCGCUGGUAAGUACACGUCCUGUUCGUGGAUGUUUGCCGGCGAAGAAAGAGCGGAAAAGGACCGGAGUGGUGCAUGGUGAGACGGGUGUACUUUGGAACAGAAGAAUACAAAGCACAAACUACAUAUACCGCUAUAUCGCAUAACUUUUUAAAUGGGCACGGUCCAUCCGAUCGAUCCUUGACGUUUAGCAAUAAAGGAACGAAUAAAUUAAUUAUAAUACAUACACGUAUGAUGUACAUAUGUGGCAGUUAUGUUACACGCAGUGGGAACUACUGAGUCGAAAUCAAUCUGUACAGGUACGAGUACAGACGGAAUAGGAACCAAUCUGCACAAUUAAUUGAUUGAAUUAGGCAUGAAAUUUAUACGAGAGAAUAGGAAUAGAGUAGGAAUCAAUGUGCCAAAAUUAAUACCUGUACGUGUUCGGUGCUGAAGAUAUUAAAGCUUCUUCAGGAUUGUUUCAUCUCCCUUCCUGCCAUUCACAAUUCACCGCAAUUUGUAGUUUAUCAGCAUUCACUGCUUCAUAUUUUCAACCGUACCCGAAGUCGACAUCUCCUAAAAAUAACCUGCAUAAUUCCCGUUUCGAUCUAAAGUGUUAUAGAGCGACAUUGCUUACGAUUAAGGAACUACUCUAACCACUUUUAAUGUUUUUCACGCUUAUUCUUUUGCGUCUGCACAGCUAAAAUAAUACUUAUGAACACUAUAAU